rnacentral:rRNA from 1 species
AAUCAACGCUGGCGGCGUGCCUAACACAUGCAAGUCGAGCGCGAAUAGGGGGGCAACUCCCUUAGUAGAGCGGCGAACGGGUGAGUAACGCGUGGGUAAUCUACCUUCGAGUGGGGAAUA